rnacentral:rRNA from 1 species
UACGAAGGGGGCUAGCGUUGCUCGGAAUUACUGGGCGUAAAGGGCGCGUAGGCGGAUGUUUAAGUCGGGGGUGAAAGCCCAGGGCUCAACCCUGGAAUUGCCUUCGAUACUGGACAUCUUGAGUACGGGAGAGGUGAGUGGAACUCCGAGUGUAGAGGUGAAAUUCGUAGAUAUUCGGAAGAACACCAGUGGCGGAGGCGACUCACUGGCCCGUUACUGACGCUGAGGUGCGAAAGCGUGGGGAGCAAACAGG